rnacentral:rRNA from 1 species
GAAUUCGCCCUUAGAGUUUGAUCCUGGCUCAGGACGAACGCUGGCGGCGUGCCUAACACAUGCAAGUCGAACGGAGAUGUUUAUUUCGGUAGACAUCUUAGUGGCGCACGGGUGAGUAACGCGUGAAUAACCUGACCCGAAGAGGGGGAUAACACCUGGAAACAAGUGCUAAUACCGCAUAAGACCACGGACCGGCAUCGGUCAGAGGUCAAAGGAGGAAUCCGCUUUGGGAGGGGUUCGCGUCCCAUUAGGUAGUUGGUGAGGUAACGGCCCACCAAGCCGACGAUGGGUAGCCGAGCUGAGAGGCUGAUCGGCCACACUGGAACUGAGACACGGUCCAGACUCCUACGGGAGGCAGCAGUGGGGAAUAUUGGGCAAUGGGCGCAAGCCUGACCCAGCAACGCCGCGUGAGGGAAGAAGGUUUUCGGAUUGUAAACCUCUGUCGCAGGGGACGAAGGAAGUGACGGUACCCUGUAAGAAAGCCCCGGCUAACUACGUGCCAGCAGCCGCGGUAAUACGUAGGGGGCGAGCGUUGUCCGGAAUUACUGGGCGUAAAGGGAGCGUAGGCGGUCGAUUAAGUUAGAUGUGAAACCCCCGGGCUUAACUUGGGGACUGCAUCUAAUACUGGUUGACUUAGAGUACAGGAGAGGGAAGCGGAAUUCCUAGUGUAGCGGUGAAAUGCGUAGAUAUUAGGAGGAACACCAGUGGCGAAGGCGGCUUUUCUGGACUGACACUGACGCUGAGGCUCGAAAGCGUGGGGAGCAAACAGGAUUAGAUACGAUGGUGGUUCCCGCUGGAAACGAUGAGUAUUAGGAGUGGGGGGUAUCGACUCCCUCUGUGCGGCAGCAGAGGCAAUAAGUAUUUGGUCGUCGGGGGGGGGGAGCAUGGGGGAAAAUCCCAGGAAUGGGCGGGGGCCCGCGCUAGCAGCGGAGCAUGUGCUUUAAUUUGACGCGAUGUGACGAGCGUUAUCACGGCUUGACGUGGAUUCAGAGUCAUGGACACAUGAGGUAUCUUAGGAGGAUGUAAGCCAGGUGGUGCAUGGGUGUAGUCAGUUAGUGUGGGGGGAUGUGGGGGUGAGUCCCGCAAGCAGCGCGCCUCUCGUUGCCAGUUGCCAGCUUGUAAAGGGGGGGAGUCUGGUCAGGUUUCCGGGGACGAAUGGGGGGAAGGAGGGGAAGGCGUCUAAUCAUCAUGCGCUCUAUCAUUUGGCCCCCCCGCGUGUUCCAAUGACGGGUACGGAUUGAAGGGAACCCGGGAGGGGGAGCCGACCACAAAAAAGCUCUGUCAGCUGGGAUGGUCGUGUGCAACUCGAGUACAUGAAGCGGGAAUCGAUAGUAAUCGAGGAUCGGAACGCCGCGG